rnacentral:lncRNA from 1 species
UUUUUUUUUUUAAAACAUUGUUUGUCGGUCAAAGGCUCAAAGCCACAUGUUUAAGCUUUGAAUUUAUUUUUAGCACCCUCAUGUAAUUUUCCCCUAUAAAAGGGGCACCUAUUGUAAUUUUUUCGGUAUGAAAUAAAAUUCACAGUUUACUUCCCUCUUCUUCGUAAAAUCAAGUUUCAGCGAUUCCGUUCGCCCGAGUUGCCGAGAAUUUCUGGAGAAGUUUCCGCGAUCGAUCGUUCUUCCAGCAAGUGCUGAGUAUAGAGAAGAUCAUCGUCAAGGUUUCUCCAACAUCCGUCCUGUUUUCCUACUACAGAAUUGCCUCCGUCCGUGCUCUGUUCGUGUUCAAAGGAUUGCUUGUCAAAUUGACUCGGCUACCGUCUCGAAUCCUUUCUGAUCUCUCCGAUCAUUUAGGUCGGAGACGUCUCGAAAACAACAGGUCUUGUUGAUAUCCCUUACAUCUCGUCUCUAAGAAAUCUCGAUCGAAUUUUACUCCGAUCUUGAGAUCGGAGACUAAAAUUGUUUUACAGGUCCAGUUAAUUGCAAAAUUUCUUUGUUUGUUGUUCUUAGAAUUUAAAUUGUUCUCCGAUCGUGAGAUCGGAAUUACAGUUUUGGUUCAAGACCUUAAUUGUUGAAUUUUGUUAUACGAAUUCUUCCGAUAGAAUUUUAGUUCUAUCAAUUUGUAGGGACAAGGUACAAACGGAAAUGAGAGAAAUGACCAGAGUCUAUUUAUCGAACGUACUCUUCGAGCAUGUACCGAACAUCCUCGUCGGAUUUAACAGAGACAAGAAUAUCGAGAUCCUCUUCAGGCGAUAAUUGAUAUUUGAUCUCGAACGGAUGUUUAUUGUAUGCUCCCUUAAAUUUCUCCAUGAUUUUUGUAUUGAUUUUUUUUUUAAUAAUCGAUGAAUCAAAAGGUUGAUUUAAUUAAAAGAUUUGUCAAUAAUCAAUCACCUGAGAAGCAGACAGAACGAGGGAAAGAGAAGACCCUCGUUUCACCGCCGGAGUACUUUAGUUUUGCUUCAGAUGAGUGUUUUUUUAUUUUACUGCCGUAUCUGCAAUUACACUUGACAUUAUUUUUCUCAGACAUAGUUCGAGUUGAUGUUGAAUUUCUUCUUCUUUCUGAAAUCGUUUUCUUAAUUCUUCUGUAUUUUUCAUAUUAAAUAAAUCAAUAAAUAGUUGGAAGGAAUGAAUUAUUACCACAAAUCUAAAAAUAGUUAGAAAUAAUUAUAAUAAAAAUUAACCUUUGAUUUUGUCAGUUAAUGGACGGUUAGUUAUUCACAAUUUUUUUAAUGUUAUUAGUUUUAACCGUUUCAACUUUGAAGGACUAUUAUGUAAAGAAGGACAGUUUGUUGUCUUCAAUAUGCAAUUUAUUCCAAAAAAAAUGAUAUAAAAAUAAGGUUUUGAAUUAAGCAAGUUGGAGAAAUUGUUUGUUUAUUCUUGAAUCUCAAUC